CUGCCUGUCGAGCAAAAAAAUUUAUUACUUAGUUUUUAUUAAACUUUUCUAUAAAUUCAAAGAAGGGAAGUUUAUAUAAAUAAGCAAAGGCUAAAAUUUACACUCAGUCACCUUAGAGCUUGUUCUAAUCAAUUUUAAUUUUUUAUUUUUAUUAAAAACUCCAAGAAUGAUUCGACAAUUUUGCCUUGUGCUUUUGUGCUGCGUGAUUAUUAACUUCAGUUUUUACAAUUAUUAAAUAAUUUUAUACCAAUUAAUUUAAUUAAGAUUUUUUAAUUUUUGCAGACAAGUCCUUUGGGAAUCACUGAAAAUAAUAAAAAGGAAUUAAGUAAUUCAGAAAUUGAAUUAACAACAUUUUCUGAAGAACUACCGAAAGAAGAGAAUAUCAAUGAUGGAAUUGAAAUUCAUCAUCUUUGUAAAAGAGAUGAUCUAAAUUGUAAAAGACUACCUAAACCAGUAGUAUCAUCAUUAUUGGAAUAAGGUUGAGGCAAAUUAAAGGUCCAGUUAGUGCAAUCGAAGAAGUAAUAAGUAAAAAUACAUAAAUCAAUGUAAAUGUGGAAAAGCAGUGUACAUUUAUCUAAGUAGUUCCAGCACAAAAGAUGUGUUACGGAUUGGAGUGUGUAAAGGCACGAUUGGAAAGCGGAUAAUGUAAAAUUAAAAAGUAAAAAGGGGAUGAAAAAAUAAAACUCUAUAGGACUAACAAGUAUAAUCGAUAAUUCUCGUGUUCACUCACCUCA